rnacentral:rRNA from 1 species
UACGAGGGGGGCAAGCGUUGUUCGGAAUUAUUGGGCGUAAAGGGCGCGUAGGCGGUUUGACAAGUCUGAUGUGAAAUCUAUGGGCUCAACCCAUAGCCUGCAUUAGAAACUGUCGGGCUUGAGUAUGGGAGAGGUGAGUGGAAUUUCCGGUGUAGCGGUGAAAUGCGUAGAUAUCGGAAGGAACACCUGUGGCGAAAGCGGCUCACUGGACCAUAACUGACGCUGAGGCGCGAAAGCUAGGGGAGCGAACAGG